rnacentral:misc_RNA from 1 species
AAUCAUUACUCGUGAUUCACUAUGCGCAACAUGGAUGCGCGUAAAAUCCACUAUUGACAACAACAAAAAUGCCGUCGGAAGCACCGCUUCUACCAACUCAAACGGAAAAACCGCCCCAUUACAUGUAUCUGAAAGAAUUUAGAACUCAACAGUGUACUCUGUUCCUGCAACACAAGUGCACUCAACACCGGCCAUUCACAUGUUUUCAUUGGCACUUUCUGAAUCAACGGAGACGCCGGCCCGUCCGGAGAAGAGACGGGACCUUCAAUUAUAGUCCGGACAUUUACUGCACCAAGUAUGAUGAGACAACAGGCAUUUGUCCCGAUGGAGAUGAUUGCCCCUUCCUACACCGGACCGCCGGGGAUACAGAGAGAAGAUAUCACUUGAGAUAUUAUAAGACAGGGACUUGUGUGUAUGAGACAGAUCCUCGUGGACAUUGUACAAAAAAUGGCCCUCACUGUGCAUUUGCCCAUGGAACAAUGGAUGUUCGGCCACCAGUUUAUGAUAUUCAUGAGCUUCAAACCAUGGAUGUCCUAGAUAAAGUUUCAACAUCACCUAGCAGUCUAGAGAAGGAAAAAAUAUUAGCCGAAGACCCAAAGUGGAAUGAUACAAAUUAUGUUUUAUCAAAUUACAAAACAGAACAGUGUAAACGACCUCCUAGAUUAUGUAGACAAGGCUAUGCAUGUCCACAGUUUCAUAACUCCAGAGAUCGAAGACGAAGUCCCAAAUCUGUGAAAUACAGAUCAACACCAUGUCCUAACGUGAAGCAUGGAGAUGAGUGGGGGGACCCAGCACUGUGCGAGAGUGGAGAUGGGUGUGCGUACUGCCACACUAGAACAGAACAACAGUUUCAUCCUGAGAUUUACAAGUCCACCAAAUGCAAUGACAUGGUCCAAACUGGUUAUUGCCCAAGAGGACCUUUCUGUGCAUUUGCUCACGUUGAAAAUGAGAUGACAACAGAUCGUGAUAUGACUCCAGCCUCUGAAAAUUCUCUAGCUGCGUUCCUAUCCAAUGUGUUACCUGACACGCCUCCAAGCAAUAGCAACAAGAACGGUGACAAAAAUACUGCAGAAGAAAAUAGCUUUAAAAUAGAGACACUUCUUCAUCAGGAGCAGAAUGGUAAAUCUAUGUUCCAAGGAAAAUUACCUAACCCUAUAGGAAAAGAAAGAGCUAAUAGCAUAUCAUCAAAUCAUAGUAACAGUUAUAUAGGGAGUAGGAGAAAUCACAAUAGCAGCCCACUGUCUGAUCCCAUUGGAAAAGGGUGGUCAGGCAGCAUGUCUAGCAGUAUUGGUUCUGACAUGUCAGGACCGAUGUACCACCCCAAGGCACCGGGGUCUGAACGGGAGGACUUACAGACCAAAUUACGCCUGCAGCUCCAAGCAAUAGAGAAUGACUCAUCGCUGGACAUUGGAGAAAGGGAGAAGAGAAAACAGAACCUCAUCCUCAUCCACAACCUCAACACCAACACCACCAACCACGGUGGUAACAUGGGUGGCAGCGGUGUACCACAGAGUGCCUUUCCGAAUGUCAUGUCACAUCUUCAGUCACGUACACUGGCAACAGGCUCCACCAUGUCCCCUCUGGCUCCUGCAUUCUAUCCUCCUGGAGAUACAGUGGAGUCUGUUAUAGGGAAAGCAUUAGACGAUAUCAGCCUUGAUGACUUUGACAUUAACAACUUAGACAAGGAAUUAGACCGCGAUAAUGACACAAAUUCAGUGAGCAGCUCUUUGAGUGCAGGACUAUCGGCGUCAAGCCUGCUAGGCACGACUUCAGGGCCAAUAGGGAUCCCUCCCAGCACGAUCCAGCAGCGGGGCAGUGUGGGAAGCUUGUCUCAGUCUCCACCCUCCCCCUUUGGGAGCUUCCCCCACUCCAUGAUGCCUCUGCAGGUUCAGAAGCAUGACCACGUCACAGAGCAAGGCAGACAACAGUCGUCUUCUCCGUUCCUUAAUUACUCUAACACGGUGAAGUUGUCCAGUGCAUCCUUCAGCGAUGUCAACUCAAUGUCUCCACGUAGCACAGGUCCACAGUCGCCGAUGUUGUCGUCAUCCUCUCUCACGUGUACACAGAACUCGGAAAUACAGCGACUCCGAGAAGAACUGAUCGUCACAAAGGCCAAGUUGGCGGACUGGGAAGGAGUGUACACACAAGCUAAAUGUGCAUGCGAUGCAUGGAAGAAGGAGGCUGAGGAGUCCAUGAAGAAAGCCAAGGGUGCUGAUGAAGACAAAAUACAGGCUGUGAAACAGAGGGAUGAGUCUUUGACUCAGGUUCAGAGGUUGAAGCAAGAGCUGGAGAGUCUGAAUGGGGGACCCUACUUACGAACGUUACACAGAAUAACAGAUCUAGAAAACUUGUCUCUGCCAGCGUUACGACACAUACGACAGACCUUACAUGUGGAUUUAGAACGGGUAGAUGAGAUAAUUUAUCAACAAACAUCAACAAAGUGCUUAGUUUGUCAGACCAACAAAAGGAACGUGUCCAUUCUCCCGUGUAGUCAUCGAGUGUUGUGUGAGGCUUGUGCCACCAAGACCAGGAACUGUCCAUUCUGUCAUGUUCCCAUUCAGACAACUUCCGUCAACUUCUUGUAAUGUCAACCCAAACUAGAUCAUGUACUUAUUUUAUCUCUAUGUUACAUAAGUUAUCAUUGGGUAAAUAGCAUUUUCUUAACUUCCAGGUGUGAAAUAACUUUAUCAAUGCAAAACCAACUUUGGAAGUCUUGACAGAUUUGUGAUUCUUGUGUUUGGGGAAAUCUCAUGGAUUGUAAUUGGAUGAUAGCCCUUCUAAGAGUUAAUACAUUGAACCACCCAGUGGAAUCUUGCAAUGUGUGUGUAACCAACUGUAGUGCUACUGCCUUGAAUUGAAUCAACUGAAAAGGAAUCCUGUCAGAAAAUUGUUGAUUUUACAUACAGUCAAAUAAGGAGUCAUCUGAUCUGUUAAUUAAAUGGUUUUAUUAUGAUACAUGUAGGAGAGAUAUUAAGAAAAGGGCAAAAUAUGUAUUUACAGACUAUUUAUUGUCUAAAUUAACCAUAUGUUUUCUGUUAAAAUUUUAUUGCCCUCCUAACUUGAUUUUAAUAACUGUCAGUAAAUCCAACAUUUGACACCACUUGCCUCCAGUAAACAGCAGGAUUAUUUCUCUUAGAACUGCACAUGGUGUCUUCUAAUACAUAUAUUUCAGAGAGAUAUAAAUAGCUCUUCUUGUUUUCAAGUUAUCAAUGAUACUUCUGAGAUUGAAUUCUAUUUUGUGGUCAUUAAUGUCAAUGGUUGUAAGCAUGAACUAUUACUGUUUUAUUAGGAAUGUUUAAUAAGGAUUUUUUCAUCAGGGAUGUUUUGGACACUGAAAAGUAAGAAAAGUGACUGUCUCAGAAACUUAAUGUCAAUGACCAGUUUUCAAGACGUCUAUUUUGGAAGAGGAAACAUCUGUGAGGCUCAUAUCCUCCGAGCAGUUGAGGGGCAGUGUGAAUGGUGGUUUGGUUUUCUAACUGACUUAUUCCUCAACUCAGGGAACAAAGCAACUGGAGAGUUGUUAUAAUGAAGUGGAUGAAUUUGACACUGAUCACUAGGGGCGACUGUCAACAUCAUGUUGUUAUUGCAUCUGUAUUGUCAUAAUCAACAACAUUAGGGUGACACUAUUGCAGUUUAAAUAUGACUCUUGCAACAGUAUUGCCAUAGUCUGCAACAAAAAUGGGACAAUGUUGCAGUUUAGGUAUGAUUCUUGGAACAGUAUUGCCAUAGUCAGUAAUAAUUAAUGGGACAAUGUUGCAGUUUAAGCAUGAUUAUUGCAAUAGUAUUGCCAGAUUCUGCAAAAUUUUGAAAUACUGUUGCAAUGUAUGUAUAACUUUCACAACUGUGUGCUACAUUAUUGCAAUAAUGCUGUAGUUUUAGGUGUGACUUUUACAAUAUUUUGGCAGUAGUCAGUAACUUUAGGACAAUGCUGUAAUGUUCAGCAGUUUGGCUAUCACCCCUUCAGUUGUGUAAUGUAAAUUUUCUUUGGGUUAACAUGAUAAAUCCUGAAUGGAGGGAAUCAACAGAUUUUUAAAUUAACUGAGGUUCCUCUCAUGAAAAAUGCAUGCACCUAUUCUGAAUGGAAGCAAAGUUUCCCAAUGAGCAAGGUAUAUUUUGGAUGAAAACAGAAGGGGAAAAGUCUUUCUUUAUCCCAUGUUUUAUUGGCCAUCAGUGCAUGUGUCCUUGUAGCAUGGUAUUGAUGUUGACUUUCGUUGUCGCUGCCAUGCGUUGAUGAUCAGCCAUUACACCCCCACUGAUCAUUGUAAAGAUUUCAGGUUGAGUAGUCUGAAGAAACAUUUGAUGUUCUGCACAGCACUUAGAUCCCAGGCAACAGCGGUCAUUGUGCAUGGAAAUAGCAGCCCUUACUAGAUAUCAGCUUGAAGCAGAAGGAAGUCAUGAACAGAUGAUUACUGAAAUUCUUUAAUCUAACACUUAACAGGGCUCCAUUUAAGUAUUUAGAACUUUCACCGGUGCAGCCUGAGACUGCAAAUUGCAACCUCAUCUAUUUAUACCAAAUUGCACCCAGUGCAUAUUAAUGUUGUUCUGUUUUCAGCUGGAAAAAAGUGAUAACAAACCGGUGUGCAAUUUUAAGUAAGAUCAAAUGAUUUUAUUAGACCCAGAAUAACAAUGUUCUAAAUCAUCUAUGCCAAAACACAAGCAUUGUGUCUGAUUUUAGAUUGAGCUGCAAGUGCAACCUGUUUUGUCUGGUGCAACAAAGUUAUUAACUAAUGUUGCUCCAGGUGCAAAAAGGUCAUUGAUACAGGUUGCUCCUGGUGCAAGUGGGUUUUAUUUCUUUGAAUUGAGCUGUGCUAAGUAAGAAGAAGCAUUAAAUUCCAUAACAAUGCUCGGACUCCCUGGUAACAAUUCCCAAAAUUAGCCACAGUAAAAGCAGAGCCUUUGUUCUGUCAUUGUCCACAGAUACAAAUAUUCUAUAUUCAGUGUACAGUUCAAUUGUUUAAAGUAUGUAUUAUGCACUUCUAGUUCAACCGAUGAUCUUAAGAUGGGUAGGUCAUGAUGACUUAAUGCAUACAUAAAGCAUGAAGGUUUGGAUUAGUAGAACAGGAGCAGACAUUUACUUUUGCCAACUUCUUCAUUUUUCUUUUCAUAAAAGAAGAUAUAAACUGAUUAUUCUUUGGGUAUUGGAUUGUUUAGUUUUAGCAGUAAUAAACAAGGUAUUCACUUGUUGCUGAGAAAUUUUUCUAGAUUACAUUCAACCUUGAAAUUGAGUUCCAUAUGAUACAGCAGACUUUUGUUUAAGUUGUCUACUAACAUCAAAUGAAAAUUCAUAAUGCAGUGUGUCAUAAACCAGUCUAGAAGAAUAUUUGAAUUCUAGUAUGAAAUGUUGUUAACAGUAGUGCUGCUUGAGUGUUUUCUGCCUUAUUUAGAGAUUUUACCAAGUGUUUCCAUGCUGUUUAUGUGGUAAAGUACCUAGUAAAUUCUCAUCUGUACAUAGAAAUGACAUAAGAAGGGAAGUAACUCUAGUCUCAACUGCAGUCAGUGGGCUGCAGAUAUUGUGCACAUUGCGAGACAUUGUUUGUGCAUGUUUCUUUUAUUGUGAAACACAGUAAUCAGCUGGUCUGAAAAAGAAUAAGAAAUAUGCAAGCAUUUGAACUAAUACAAUUUCUUUGUGAGUCUUACAUAAAGGACUUUCACAAACAUUUAUUAACAUUUAUGAUUUGCGGAUUUGACAUGUAGUGGAUGUAAAUAUGAACAUCUUUCCAAUAUGCCCGUUUUCUGUGAUGAUCAAAGAGUAGAGAGUUUGGUAACAGCAACUUUGUGAAACUGUAUUUUGUAGGGUGUAAAUACGUCUUAUAGAUUCUAUGGCGCUUGACUGUAAGAAUUCAUCUGAGUAUUUCCUAUAAUUUACUAUUACACAUAAUGAUCACCUUUACAAGUAAGGAGGUAAAUCCUUCUGUUUGAUGUCAAAAUGGAUUCACUUUUGGCAAGGCCAGACCAUUUUAAAUAAUCACAAUAAUACAAUGGGGUACACUUAUGAUAUGCCAAACUAUCCUUGAAGCAACUCAAAGUGCUACAUUUACGCUACAUUAGACAGUGGAUCUGUGUUCUCUCCAUUCAUCCUGUGCUCCCUAGGGAGUAUACAACCCCCAAGAGACAAUGCCAUAUGAAAUAAUGCCAAAUUACCCAGGCCAAAAAGAGCAUGUUGUCAUACAGGUGUUUCAUUGCUUUGUUUGGGGUUGACAAAUAAAUGAUACCAUAGUGAUCAUGAACAAGUCUGUCAUUAAUAUUAAACAAGCAUUGCUUGCAGAAAUUUUCACAAAUGCGUGUUUAUGAAAAAUAGUCUGUAAAUAACAAAUAGUUAAAGAGGUUCAAUUCCCAGGCCAUCUUAUUAUAGCAUUUGCAGGUGCAGUGGUAAAAUAAACUUUAGAUAUAAUAGUUAAGUCAUUAAGAAUCAAAAUCUGUUUGUACAAAUAUGCAACAACUAAAUGACCUGACAAAUUUCUCAAUGUCUAGAUUUCACAACACUUUGGUGUUUAAAUUUGAUUCAAGCAAUUUAAAUUAGUGAAGUAAGACAAGCUCAAAGUAAGGCGAUAAUGGCAGCAGUAUAUACACGUAGUAUAUACAAGCAUUGUACAAACCCCAUAGGCUCUGAAAGUAGUCCUCAUGACCGGCAUGUAUGUUAUUGAACAAGAAAUGCUUUCAUGUCAAAGAAAAACAUGAGUGCCAGGUCUCUGUUUGAAAUGAAGAUGCUUUCAAUCAGAGACUUCUUUGUUUAGUUUGUAGUUUCUACUUUGGCAACAGCUGGGGCAAGGAACUAAAAUGGUCUGGCCUAUGAUGUCCAAAAAUAUCUGUAACUUUCAACUUUCUUCAGAAUGUAAUGUUCAUAUCAAUGAAGAAUUUUAAACAGCACCUUAUUUAAUCAAAAUUUGUAAAACAAGAUGUUUUAUUAACAUUUCAGUAUUACUGUUCAUAAAUGUGUAGAAGUAAUAGUCAGACCAUUACUUAUAUAAUUUAGUGUAUAUAUUUGUCUUAACCGUGAACCCAGUACUGAUGUGGAAUGGCGUAACAUAUCCUAUGGAACAUUUUUUCCUAAGAAACAACUACUCCUCUACAUCCGUGUUCAGUAAUGUGAGAUAUUUCUGAUGAGUGUUAUAUUUUUAAUAGCAUUUACCGAUGAAGAAGACGGAAAUUCUGGGAUGAAGACAAACUGGUUGCUGGGCACUAACGUUUGUGUGUUGUGGCACUCCCAAAACUUGAGAGGCUUUUACCAUGAUGUAUAUUGUCACAAGAUUGAAAUAUUGCUUAUCAUGGUGAACACUUUACUUAAAUAUUUAGUUCUUUUUGUAAAUUAAUUAUUUACAAAUGUUUUCAGUAAUAUUCUUCCCUAUUGUGUGUGUCAUAUGUAUAUUACAUUGUUACUGUUUAGAAUCUUCUCUUGUGUGAUAAACACUGUUAGUGCUAUUUGGCAUUGUGCAUAUUUCAUGUCAGGGUUUCAGUUCUAAUGGAUUCUGCAGGUGUUUUUUUCUUUGUAUGAGUUGCUAUCUGUGUUAAUAUCCAGCUUUGUUGGUAUGAUUACUUCACUCUUUGAAUUCUGUUGGUUCACAGAAUUGUUAGUUGACAUGGUUUAAAGUCAUGAAAACAAUUUGAAAAAUUGAUGCAUUGAGCCGAAACAAGGGCUUAGAACGAUGACUGCAUAACAUAGAGUGCUAAUUGUUUGAUCAGCAUUCUAGAAGUUGGUGAGUCAAAAUUGAAGGAUACAACUUUCAGGAUGACAACUUCUUGUUGAUUGCAUUGAGCACGUUUUGAUGUAGAUUCUCACAUGUUAUCAAAAGACUUUUAGCUUGAUAGCGGUGUAAGAAUCUACAUUGAAACGUUGCUCGAUGCAAUAAACAAGAAGUUGUCAUCCCUAAAGGUGUAUGCUUCAUACAGAGUGCUAUUUGAUUAUGUCGGUGAAAUUGUUUGAAUAUGUACCUAGUUACUCACACAUAAGUCGUUUUGAUUAUUUGACUUCACUGAUGCUUUCAUUACUUUGUUCACCCAAAGUGUUUGAGGUUUGUGUAAACAAUGUAGCAAUGUGAUGUUAUUCUUCAACUCAUCAAUACCUUGGAGAUGUUAAACUGUCAAAACAACAUGACUGAUAUGUUUCUUUGGAAAUUAUGAUCUGCUUUGUAUUGGACUUGAAUUUGUUUUACGUGUUGUUUUGUAAUGAUAAGGUAAUUAGUCAGUGGUGACCUUGUUUACAUCUAAGACAAGUAUCCUUUGAUGGCAUAUUAUGUUUCGAGCUACAAGCAUUUAAACUAUCUUAAGGUCAGCCACUGAUUACUUCUGAAAAUGAAAUUCAUCCGAGCUGUGAAGACUGAACAUUUAUGCCCCGAUAUAAUUGGACCCAGUAUUUGUACAAGUAAUCUUAUUUGUUUUGAAUGGUAUAUCAGUUGAGAUAACUUAUGCUUCAUUAUGUUUCUCUGGAAGGAAAUCUAUCUUGAAAAGGAUUUCAGAGGCGACAUUUUCUGGAAGUGCAAUGGCCUGGUUUCUUUGUCAAUUUUGGAACAUGUUGUUAUCUUUUGUUGAAUAGCAGAGUGAUUUAUUUUACUAUUGUUGGUGGUGCAAAACGCAUUUGUCAGAUACUGAUAUUUAAAAGGCUUAACCAUCAACUAACUGUAAGUUUGUGUAAGUGAAGAUAACAAAGCAGAUGAGACAAUAUUUUAUCUUUAUUACUAUGUUUUAAUAGCUUUGUUGUAGAUUUCUUAUCUGUACUGUAAUGGAUUGUUUCUUUGACAUUACACUUCAUGAAAACAUCAUUUUUGUCAUGUUUAAUUAGGCUUGAGUAUAUUAUUUAUUUGAUUACCAUCCAUGUUUCCUGAAACAGGAUUGAGACAAAGUAUUUCUGUCAUGGACAGACCAAUAACACAGGAAUGGUAGUUUGGCAAAAUUUACUUGGAAAUUAUUUGGAGCUGUGAAGACAGCAUAAGAAAUCGAAAAAUCUGGAAGGAUUAUAAUCUAAUUGAUAAUUUAUGCUGGCCUGAUAUUAAAAAGAAUUAUGAAAUGUUUUUACUGUUUGCCAAGGCUUAUAGUAGGUAGCUUCAUGCACAGCACACCUGGUAUGUUUAAGUCUGUUUCCGUAGCUUUGGCUAUAACAAUGGUGUUAUCCUGCAAUUUUCAUCAACAGUUAUAUUUUGGGGGAAAUACUUGAAAACAAUUAGUUCAUCCUUAAUCACAGUAAUAAGGUCAAUGUUUAUUUUGAUAGUAACUGUUGGGAUAAUAUUUUGUAUCCCUCAUGCUACAAAUGGUUAUUUAGUUUUUGUCUGCCUGUCACAAGGCAGAUCUACAUCCACAAGGCAUGAGCAAGAGCUUGAGAGAUGCUGUACAUAGCCUGACUGGUCCUGUAUAUAGGGUAUGCAAGGACAGAACGUGAGAGCGAGCGUGAGUGUGAUGUGGAGAGUGAGUUGCUGGCAUGUAGAGGGCGCUGUAGCCACUUGCUAGACGUAAUAUGUGAGUCUCUAGACAUUUGUGAUAUGUUCAUCUAGGGAGAAGGAGAAGGAUUUGCCAGACAACUGGCGGAGAACUCAUCUUUGUAACACUUUGAAAAUAAUGAUUGACAUAAAAAAAUCAUUAUCACUG